UUGGCUGUGAAUUUGUGAUGAACGUUCCAUCUGCGAGUCAUAUGGGCGGCGUAUGGGAACGUCAAAUCCGAACGAUUCGAAGCAUCCUGUCGGCCAUGCUCGACAAAUCUGCAAGCAGACUCGACACCACAACUUUGAGGACCUUUCUAUAUGAAACAAUGGCUAUAAUCAACAGCAGGCCCUUGAGUGUUGAACAUCUUCGUGAUCCAACUGGUCCAGAACCUCUCACACCAAAUCAUAUAUUGACCAUGAAGUCAUCAGUUAUUCUGCCUCCACCUGGAAAGUUCUGUGCAGAAGACCUUUAUCUGAGUAAAAGGUGGAGAAGAGUGCAGUUCCUAGCCAAUGAAUUUUGGCAAAGAUGGAGGCGUGAAUAUCUGCUUAAUCUACAACAAAGGCAGAAGUGGCAACGAAAAUCACGAAACUCACAAGUAAAUGACAUAGUGAUACUGCAAGACGACAACUCACCAAGAAACGAAUGGAAGCUUGGCAAAGUGGUGGAAGUUCAGCCCAGCUCAGAUGGCAUGGUGAGAAAGCUGAAGCUACUUGUCAGUGACACCACACUUGAGAAAGGAAAACUACAAACCAGAGCUACUUACCUUGAGAGGCCCAUCCACAAAGUAGUUACUUUAAUAGAGGCCAACUAAGUUGUACAGAUAACUUUACAUUCAUGCAUACAUUGAUUUUUCUAGACUCAAUCUUAAAGUUUUUCUUAGAAAUCUCUCAAUUCAAGUUAAUGAGUGAUUUGGUGGGAGUGUAAGUGCUUUUGAAUUCUUGUUAAAAUUAAUCAUUCAUAAUUUAUGUUGUUGUUUAGGUAAAACUUUAAAUGAGUAAAUUCAUGGACGUGUUAUAAGAUAAAAUACGGGUUAAUUUUAUAAUUUAUUUCAUAAGUUUGCUCUUUUCUGCACUUUUAUGUUUAGCCAGGAACCAAUGUUCAUACUUGUGUACCACUACGUUAAAUUUAAUAGAUGCUACACUAUGAAGCAAGAUUACAAAGCCUGAUUCAAGCGUGUAAAGAACCUCUCUUCAUGACAAGCGGCUAAUGAGUUCUCACGGCAUAAAAGUAUGAACGUCAUAAAGAACCUUAAUGGAGUUUCAUGUUGAACGACAUGAGAGAAAAGACGAAAUAAAUGCCAGUUAAAGAGAAA